UACAUAGGGUGCGAGCGUUGUCCGGAAUUACUGGGCGUAAAGAGCUCGUAGGUGGUUUGUCGCGUUGUUCGUGAAAACUCACAGCUUAACUGUGGGCGUGCGGGCGAUACGGGCAGACUGGAGUACUGCAGGGGAGACUGGAAUUCCUGGUGUAGCGGUGGAAUGCGCAGAUAUCAGGAGGAACACCGGUGGCGAAGGCGGGUCUCUGGGCAGUAACUGACGCUGAGGAGCGAAAGCGUGGGGAGCGAACAGG
rnacentral:rRNA from 1 species